CUUCAGUUAUCUCAUCUUUAAAAUUAGAAUGAUAAUAUCUGCUUCAAAGCUGUCUCAAGGCUUAUAAUCUCUAUGAGUAAUGAAAAAAAUAAGACUUCCUUUGCCUGACCUAUAGCAUAUCUUCCAUAAAUGCCGUAGAAAUAAAACCCAGCGUUACUACUGGUGAAGAUUGUUGAUACAAAACAAAAUCCCUGAACUGUGACCCCUCCAGGAUUUCUCUGGGUGGAGAGUGGGCUACUGGGAGCAUCAUUUUCAGUUGGAGGUUUAAAAAAGUCUGCUGUCAACAUGGAUAUUAAACAAAACAAAUAGAUGCGUGUCCGGCGAGAGACGUGUUGGUUGAAGUCAGCGAGGGGUAGCUGGCCCCUGAUGCACGUGGAGCCGUCCAGUGAUGUUGCCUAGAAACAGGGCAUUAUCAAAGAGAACCUCACGUCAGGUUGGAGCAGUUCCCAGACAGCCGCUUCUGGAAAGAAGCAGGAUUUCCUCUUGAUCAACAAAGGAGAAGGCGACUCCCGAAGGGGCAAACCAAUUUCCACUCGGUCUCCACUGCCGCCUUCCUAUGAUCGACUUUUAAAGAGAGCAGGAGCUUUGGAACUCAUGGUUGGGAGGUGUUUCUACCGGAAUGCACACAGGUCCUCUCCAGGUGCUUGUAUGCUGCUUCUCACAUGGGAACAGUGCUCACCACCCCGGGAGGAACUUACAGACAGGUAAUGCGCCAUUGCAACUUCAUGGAAAGUCAAGUUUAAUUUGGGGGAGAUGCCAUGACACUAGCUUUAAAUUAAGAUGUAUAUACACACAUAGACUAUACUAGAUUCAGG
rnacentral:lncRNA from 1 species